UUGAUUAGGAUUUGAUUUAGGUUUAAGAUUUAAGAUUUGAUUAGGAUUUGAUUUAAGAUUAGGAUUUGGUUUAAGAUUUAGGGUUUGAUUAGGGUUUGAUUUAGAAUUAGAGUUUGAUUAGGAUUUGAUUUAGGAUUAGAAUUUGAUUAGAAUUUGAUUUAGGAUUUAGGAUUAGGAUUAGGAUUUGAUUAGGAUUUGAUUUAGGAUUAGAAUUUAGAAUUUGGUUAAGAUUUGAUUUGAGAUUAGAAUUUGGUUUAGAAUUUAGGAUUUAGGAUUUGGUUUAAGGUUUAGGAUUUGGUUUAGGAUUUAAGUUUUGGUUAGGAUUUGAUUAGAAUUUGAUUUAGGAUUUAGGAUUUUAUUUGAGUUUAUUUAAGAUUUAAGAUUUAGUUAGUUUUUGGCCUCAAGUUUGAAUGAAGUAAGAUUUCAAUUAGGAUUAAAUUAAGAUUGAAUUGAAAUGUAUUAGAGAUAUGUUUGUAAUCAUUCUAAUAUUUCUUUAAGAUUUCUUAUUGUUUCUUUUGAAUUCCUUUGAAGUUUCUCUAAAUUUGAUUAAAGCUUGUUUAGCAUUAUUAGUAUUUUAUUAGAAUUAAGAUUUUGUUGUUGCAAUUUCCAUUCUACCUUCUACAACCAAGUGCUCGAAGCAUUCUCAAGCAA
rnacentral:lncRNA from 1 species